rnacentral:rRNA from 1 species
GACGAACGCUGGCGGCGUGCUUAACACAUGCAAGUCGAACGGAAAGGCCCUGCUUUUGUGGGGUGCUCGAGUGGCGAACGGGUGAGUAACACGUGAGUAACCUGCCCUUGACUUUGGGAUAACUUCAGGAAACUGGGGCUAAUACCGGAUAGGAGCUCCUGCUGCAUGGUGGGGGUUGGAAAGUUUCGGCGGUUGGGGAUGGACUCGCGGCUUAUCAGCCUGUUGGUGGGGUAGUGGAUUACCAAGGCUUUGACGGGUAGCCGGCCUGAGAGGGUGACCGGCCACAUUGGGACUGAGAUACGGCCCAGACUCCUACGGGAGGCAGCAGUGGGGAAUAUUGCACAAUGGGCGGAAGCCUGAUGCAGCAACGCCGCGUGCGGGAUGACGGCCUUCGGGUUGUAAACCACUUUCGCCUGUGACGAAGCGUGAGUGACGGUAAUGGGUAAAGAAGCACCGGCUAACUACGUG